rnacentral:rRNA from 1 species
CUGUGCCUACGGGGGGCAGCAGUGGGGGAUAUUGCACAAUGGGGGGAACCCUGGUGCAGCGACGCCGCGUGGGUGAAGAAGCGCCUCGGCGCGUAAAGCCCUGUCAGCAGGGAAGAAAAUAACGGUACCUGAAGAAGAAGCCCCGGCUAACUACGUGCCAGCAGCCGCGGUAACACGUAGGGGGCAAGCGUCAUCCGGAUUUACUGGGUGUAAAGGGGGCGCAGACGGCGAUGCAAGCCAGGAGUGAAAGCCCGGGGCCCAACCCCGGGACGGCUCUUGGAACUGCGUGGCUGGAGUGCAGGAGG